UUGGCAUUGUGGAGCAGGCACUCUGCGGUCGGGGUGACGAUUCUUGACUAGAAUUAGUUCAUACUAAUUAUUAGUAAUUUGGUGCCAUUACAACAGAUUUGGAUCAAUAUCUACCAAAUCAAGGCGUUGACUAUUGCGCUAGUUUUCUUCGUCGUGUGUUAUUUUGAUUGCUCGUGUUACCGCGCGGAUUCACAUUGCAACUACUAUCCGCUUUCAACCUGGAUUUGAAAUGCAGCCUCCCAACAAAACAACACUGAACUAUUGCGUUUGAGCGAGCCAAGUGUGUGCGUGUUGCUGGGGGGGAGAGAAGAAGUGCAUUUUCCUGUUUUCCAUUUUCACCAGCAUCGAUCAUCAAGGCUCGCUGCAAGGUUUACAUAUUCUGUUAAAGAACCAAGAUGGACGUCAAUCUGGACGGCCUAUUCCGCCUGAACACCAGCUAUGACUACAACGACGACUACGUGUACACAGACGACGACUUGGAGUACCGAGGCGGCCGGGCGGUGUGGAUUCCACUGGUGUACUCGGUGGUGUUGGUCGUCGGCCUGCUGGGGAACGGACUGCUGCUGGCGUUUCUGGCGCAGAAGAAGCGAACUUGGAGGACGUCGGACACCUUCAUCCUCCACCUGAGCGUCGCUGACGUCCUGCUCUUGAUGACGCUCCCGCUGUGGGCCGCGCAGGCCUCGCAGAGUUGCGGAUGGUGCGUGGGGCUCGCACUCUGCAAGAUCACUGGAGUUCUUUUUAAGCUCAACUUCUUCUGUGGGAUCUUCCUCCUGGCUGUCAUCUGCUUGGACCGCUACCUGUCGGAGGUCCACGCCAAGCCGUUGUACUCUCACAAAAACCCCAAGUUGACCCACCUCAGCUGCUUGUUUGCGUGGCUCGUCUCCCUGCUCCUCACCGUCCCCGACUGGUUCUUUCUGGUGUUGGAACCCCAUACUUGGAAGGAGGGGUGGACCCAGUGCGUUCCCAGCCUCUACCCUGUCAACUUGCAACUGGCGUCACGUCUCCCUCACCACAUUCUAAGCACGGCCGCAGCCAUCGUUGUUGGCUGCUCAUGUUUGCUGCCGUGGCUCCAGCGUCAGUCCAAAAGCCUCAAAAAGCAGAGGACUGCUAUCGUCAUGCUUAUCCUGGUGGGCGUCUUCUGUUUCUGCUGGAUGCCGUACAACGUUACUCUCAUGGUGGACACCUUCAGCAGCAACAAGAAAGCCUCCAACAGUUUAUCCACCAAAAGCUCGACAAAAAUGUCUUUGAAGGCCACGGCGGCGCUGGGCUGCGUCCACGCAUGCGUCAGGCCGCUUCUCUACCUUGGCCUGUGCGCAAAUUUCAGGAAGUGGACACUGGCAGUGCUGAAUUGCGCAAAAGUUGAACCCAAGGGGUCAGUGUGGGACCUGGGCAUUGGCGAGGACGCCCUGCCUGAGCAGAAACCCGAGGAGGAGGAGCUAAAACAGGUUGCGAGUGUGGAGCAGCAAGUGCAGUCAAAAAUGUCCUGUGACUCAUAGCUGGAUUGACUUAACCUUUUCAUGCUCUCACCACGGGAGGUAAUGUCAUGUGCUUCCAAGGCGGAGGAGGAUGACGUGAAAUGGAGACUUGCCCUACAUCUUUACAGCACAACCAGACCAACCUGACUUGUAAGAUAACCAGGGAGUUGGAAGUGUCCCCAGAGUCGGACCACAAGGAGCUUCUCCUGCUGCUCACAGCCGACUGGAGUUUGACGCUCUGCUUGGGCUUGCAGACCAGAGCCCUCAGGAUGUCCAGGAGCUGACGACGGAACUUGACUCCCACAAAGGCAUAAAGGAUGGGGUUGAGGCUGCAAUGGAGGCGGUGUCCACCAUGAGGGUGAGGUUGUACGGCACCCAGCAGAGAAAGAACACCACCACCACGGCGGCGAUGACCCUGAAGGCCUUCUGUUUCUGGAGGCCCUGCGAGCCGCAGCGCAGCCGUUGCAGGAUGCAUGAGUAGCAGUAGACCAGGACCAGUGACGGCAACAGGAAACCUGCGACGUGGUAAAGGAGGCGCGACGCCAGAUGCCAGGACUCUGAGACGUUGCGGAUGCACUCGGUUUUGUCCCGCCUGGCGUCUUUCACAGCUUCCAGGAAGAUCCAGUCGGGGACGGAGAGGAAGAGCGAGAGGAGCCACACGGCCAAGCAGCUGGCCUGGAUGAGAUGGGGUUUCCUGCGGGAGUACAUCUGGGUGGCGUGGACGAUGGACAGGUAGCGGUCCAGACUGAUGCAGGCCAGCAGGAAAAUACCACAGUAGAAGUUGAUCUGAAAAUGACAGCAUAUGGCUUUGAAAUUAUUUACUGUAUACAGUAUAUCUAUCUGUGUGUCCUUCAGUCUGUCCAUACAUUGAUCAGUCUCUCAUUCCAUCUAAACAUUUAUCUGUCUGUGUGUCCUUCAAUUUGUUGAUUCGUCUGUCUGUCUGUCCAACUGUCCAUCCAUCAAUCCUGUCUGUCAGUCAUUCCAUUCAUUAGUCUGUCAAUAAGUUCAUAGAUCUGUCAGUCCAACUGUCUGUCUGUGAGUUAGUUGAUUUGUUUGUCUGUCCAUCAACCUGUCCUUCUAUCUAUCUGUCUGUCAAUCAGUCAGUGCAACAGUCUAUCUGUCUAUCCUUUCAUCUGUCCGUCCAGCAUUUCAGUCCAUCUGCCCCUCUGGUCAUUGAUCCAUCUGUCAUUCUGUGUAUCCAUUGAUUCUGUCUAGCUAUAGCGUCCUGUGUGUCCUUCAGUACGUUGAUCUGUCUAUCUGUUCACCUGAUCAUCAAGCUUUCUGUCGGUCUUUGUAUCCAUCGAUCAGUCAACUUAACUAUUCGUCCAUUCAUUAAACUAUCAGUCCUUCUAUCUAUCAGUCAGUCAGUUUUGUAAAUACAACUGCCAGUCAGUCUAACCUCCCAUCUGCCCUUCUAUCCAGUCAGUCUGUCGACCUCUCUGUCCAUCCGACGAGCAGCCUUUGUGGGUUUCAGUCGGUCGAUUCAUCUGUCUGUCCAUUCAUCAUUCUGUCAGUCGCUUGUCAGUCCACCUAUGCAACAGGCUGUUUUUCAGUUUGUGUCUUUGUCUGUCUGUGUCCCCUUCAAUCCAUCAUUAUGUCAUCAGUCUGUAAAUAUGUCUGCCAAUUUGUCUGUCUGUGUAUCUGUCCAUUGAUAAGUCUGUCAGUCAAUCUAUCUGUCCAUCUGUUCUUUCAUCUAGCAAUCUGAUAUGACAAUAAUUUCUAAGAAGUAGUCAUACCGUAAAAACAGAGCCAGUGAUCUUGCAGAGGGGAGUACCAAACGUCCAUCCGGCCCCUUGGGCGUCCUGUGCCGUCCACAGGGGCAGCGUUAUCAGCAGCAGCACAUCAGCAAUGGCUAAAUGGAGAAUGAAGGUGUCCGUCACACUCCAGCUCUUCCUGCUUCGAGCCAGAACCCCCAAAAGCACCCCAUUCCCUGGGAUGCCCACCACCAAGGCCACAGAGUACAGAACUGGGAUGAAGACCGCCUCAAACUGCCGGCCCUCCUUCAGGUCACACACACUGGAGGUCAAAUUGUUGGGCUCGGAGUUGUUCGCUUCAUGGAGAUCGAUGCCAUCGAAGAGCCAGUCAUCCAUGUCAAAGGUAACUGCUUCACCACUUUCCAGAAGAGAGGCCUAAAGACAAUACAAUUCAAUUUGUACGGAUUUAACCACAUGGGGGCGCUGUGGAGCCUUAAAUUCACUCCUAAAAAUCACUUCUUUCACACAACAGUAGUGCAAGUUCCUUUGUGCUUGCAGAUUAGGACAGAAACUAAUUUUGCAGCAGGUGGACACAUUUUGACACGUUUGUAAUAUUUAGGUUGCCUUAUUUAUCUACACAAGAGGCCAAAAUAUUACAGCUACUCCACUACACAUUAGUUAAUGAAUACCUCUCAUUCAACAGUGGACGUUAUUGCAUUUUAAAGGCAUAAUGUUUAUCUGUUGGUGGUUUUAUUCUUACUUUCAACCACACUACAGCUGAACUUUCUAUGACCUACGCUCUGACGCAGAUGCAAAUUAUUGAUAAGUAAUUUGUACUGUUUCUUCCCUAAAAUGAAAUAGGAGCGUAUGCGACACAGUAGUACAAAAAUGUAUCGUCAGAUUCGAUAAUUACUUACCAGAUUGAAAUUAGCAGACAUUGUCUUCAGUGAGCGGGCUUACACAGCAGAACUUAGCAGCACUGGAGAACGAGCAACCUGUCUAUCUUCAAAAGACAGGCAGCUUGAGGUUAUACAAAAAAAAACCACCAGUGAAAGCAGGCGUGCUGAGGCUCAUGCAUGCAAAUUCUGUUGCAAACAUUUGUCUUAGUAGGUAUAACAUUAAGCAGUGGGCCGACACAUGGGUGAAAUUAAUUGGUUAUUAGUUAUUUAUUUAUAUUUAGCCACACAAUUGGUUAUUCAAAAUGCAAAUUGCUUGCUUACCCCCAUUUUUAAAAUGAAAAUACAUUUAUAUGCAUAUGUUAGAGAUGCAUUGCAUUUAUUAUGUGCAUAUAUUUAAUGUUCUUCUAUAUAAUUUUCUUCUUCUAUUACAGUUUUUCUCCAUUGGUUUGGCUCAUUCCUUGAAACACUAAAUUACAUUCUGAAAACUCUAAGAUCAUUUAGCAUACAGACAUACAACCAUUCACACUCACAUUCACACCAAUGGACAAUUUAGAAUCUCUAGUUAACCUAACAUGCAUGAUUUUGGGAUGUGGAGGAACCCAGAGAAAGCCCCCACAUGCACCCACGACAAUGGACUGCACUACUGUCCUCACAGAUUGCCGUGGCUCAAACGUGGAUACUGUCACCAUUCUCAUCAGCAGUGCCAGAAAGGAUUGUUUCGAAUGAAAAUUAGAACACGGGAAAUUUACGGAAGAAGAGCAAAAUAUUGAAUUUCCUGGGAAAAUAGGAGGGUUGAGAGCUAUGCUGGGCUGCUACCCUGGUUCUGUUGGUGGUUUCUUUCUUCAAGAAAGUUUUUCCUUUUCUCCCGUUGCCAUUGUGCUUGCUCAUGUUGUUUUUCUUUAAUGUAUGAUAUGGCCUGCUCUGUGUAAAGUUUCGUUGUGA